UACGUAGGGUGCAAGCGUUAAUCGGAAUUACUGGGCGUAAAGCGUGCGCAGGCGGUUUGGUAAGACAGAUGUGAAAUCCCCGGGCUUAACCUGGGAAUUGCAUUUGUGACUGCCCGGCUAGAGUGUGUCAGGAGGGGGGUAGAAUUCCACGUGUAGCAGUGAAAUGCGUAGAUAUGUGGAGGAAUACCGAUGGCGAAGGCAGCCCCCUGGGAUAACACUGACGCUCAUGCACGAAAGCGUGGGGAGCAAACAGG
rnacentral:rRNA from 1 species